rnacentral:lncRNA from 1 species
AAGAAACUUUUCCCAAAAGUUAUGCAAACAAUAUUUAAGGAAUGUGUUAGUCCUAGAGGUUUACAAGUGAAAUAUAAACAGAAACACAUAGCUAUCGAAUUUACAGAGGAUGAAAUAUCCUUAAUGGAAAAACUUCCAAAUAUAGAUGACUUCACCAUUGAAUUAUGCUAUAAAAUAUUGCGGUACGAAAAUGUAUUGCAUGAACCGUCGUGUAAGUGGGGGAAUGACCCACACGAUACAGCAGUUCAAAUCGGCGAUGAUGUUCAGAGAAUACUUAAUGCAACUAAUGAUGUUAUCAGUAGGAAGUCGGAUGAAAUAUCACAGCUAUAUUACGAAGAGUUUCAAAAAAGAACACAACAGGUACUAAAGAGAGUGGA